rnacentral:rRNA from 1 species
UACGAAUGGAGCGAGCGUUGUUCGGAAUUACUGGGCGUAGAGCGCACGUAGGCGGCUACUCAAGUCAGAGGUGAAAGCCCGGGGCUCAACCCCGGAACUGCCUUUGAAACUAGGUAGCUAGAAUCUUGGAGAGGUCAGUGGAAUUCCGAGUGUAGAGGUGAAAUUCGUAGAUAUUCGGAAGAACACCAGUGGCGAAGGCGACUGACUGGACAAGUAUUGACGCUGAGGUGCGAAAGCGUGGGGAGCAAACAGG